ACGAACGCUGGCGGCGUGCUUAACACAUGCAAGUCGAACGGAAAGGCCCUGCUUUUGUGGGGUGCUCGAGUGGCGAACGGGUGAGUAACACGUGAGUAACCUGCCCUUGACUUUGGGAUAACUUCAGGAAACUGGGACUAAUACCGGAUAGGAGCUCCUGCUGCAUGGUGGGGGUUGGAAAGUUUCGGCGGUUGGGGAUGGACUCGCGGCUUAUCAGCUUGUUGGUGGGGUAGUGGCUUACCAAGGCUUUGACGGGUAGCCGGCAUGAGAGGGUGACCGGCCACAUUGGGACUGAGAUACGGCCCAGACUCCUACGGGAGGCAGCAGUGGGGAAUAUUGCACAAUGGGCGGAAGCCUGAUGCAGCAACGCCGCGUGCGGGAUGACGGCCUUCGGGUUGUAAACCGCUUUCGCCUGUGACGAAGCGUGAGUGACGGUAAUGGGUAAAGAAGCACCGGCUAACUACGUG
rnacentral:rRNA from 1 species